GCCCAAAGCUAAAGUCAGCAUAUUGUGUUGUACACCCACCUGUCUGCCCAGAUGAAGUCCCAGUUGUAUUGGAUGUACUUACCUUAUGCCCAAAGCUAAAGCCAACAUAUUGUGUUGUACACUCGCCUGUAUGCUCAAGUGAAACCCCAGUUGUCUUUCCUACGGACUUACUUGUGCCCCCGAGUGAAGAGCCAGCGGCCCCUCUGUCCACUAUCCGUGUCCAGUCCUGUUACACUUACCUUUAUGCUCUUGUGCAGAUCUAGCGGGUCCCUUUGAAGCGUCUACCUGCAUGUCGACUCGUCACUCAGGAUACAGAGACCGUGGAAACCCCCUCCCGUACACUUACCAGUACGGUUUUAGUUGGAUCCCGGCAGCCCUUGGGCAGUUCCCCCAGCAUCUGGACGACCGGGAGUAUAAUCCGCUGGGUCGCCUCGGAGUUCGUCAAAAGUAGCAGCAGGUAUCCAUUGUGCAUCCAAACUCUCAAUACUUACCACUUGUAUCUGUUACGUCCAGGAAAGGAGAGGGCCCUGGACAGUCGUCCUGCAAGCCAGAACAAAGGGGCACUUGCGAAUAAGCUGAUUGUCGUCACAUAGCCAGAAGGAAAGAGGAGUGAAGGACUCACCUGAGAUCUCCCGUGACGGAGUCUAAGAGACUCGAGACUGUUACUCUCCAAAAGGAGGGUUGGAUUUUAGCCUCCCUUCCCCAUACCCUUUUUUUAGUAAUUUAAUAAAGUCUGUUUUAAUAUUUACUUACCGGC
ensembl:lncRNA